GGAAUAAUUUUCUAUUCAAUCUUUUGAUUUAAUUUAAUGUAAUAUAAAAAAAAAUUUGAAAGGAUAAUUAAAUUUUCUUCAAGAUUGUUGAUUAUAGCACUAUCAAAAAAUGUCAUUACUAAAUAAAAUCAAAAAUAUACGUAUAUAAGUGUUCAAUGCCAAAUACGUUUCCGACAUAAACGAACAAGUAAAAAAAUUUGAAAUAAUAUAGAACAAAUGUGUCAGUGAUAAAGUGUCAAUGUUAUUUACUUGUAGAAUUGAAGCAUGGCACCGGUCACAGCCAUACCACCUGGCACCUGAAAGGACAUUCUACCAAAGACAUUUUGUAGAUCGCCAGUGUCCGGAUGAAAGGCCGACUCGUAGAGCUUCUUAGCAUAGAUGAUUUCUUUUCUGGUGGUACCAGCUGGCUCAUUUCCAAGUCUGCAAAACAAUCGUACGAUGAUGACAAUCCGAUGAUCCUUCGAAAAUAUUUGAACAAUUUCGAGGGGAAGAAAAAAAAAAAAAGAGAGAGAACAAGAAAAAAAAGAAGGAAAGAAAAGGGUGCCGAAAACGCUCGAUAUGAACGCGCAUUUCUCGGAGUUGCGCAAUGUUAUUGACACUAUCGUAGUAGAGGAUCCAUUUGUGUAACGCAUUUAUCCAAGUGUUCCAUAUGCAUCGACUUGCAAAAUUACUAUCAUUCGCGAAAAUCCAGAAGAGAGAAGGGGAUGGGUAGAGAGAGAGAGAGAGA